GCCUGCCCAGUGACUCUUUAGACGGCCGCGGUAUCCUAACCGAGCAAAGGUACCAUAAUCACUUGUCCCUUAAAUCGGGACUAGAAUGAACGGCUAAAUGAGGACUAAACUGUCUCUUACAGGCUAGCCAAUGAAAUUGAUUUUCCAGUACAAAAGCUGGAAUAUAACCACAAGACGAGAAGACCCUGUGGAGCUUAAAACCAAAUUCACCAAACAUGUCUCAUUGGUUUUCAGUUGGGGCGACUUCGGAGUACAAAAUAACCUCCAAACAUAAAACUAAUUAAGAACAACACAUCAAAAUAUGUUUAUAAUGACCCAGCAACCCUGUAGUUGUCUGAUUAAUGAACCAAGUUACCCCAGGGAUAACAGCGCCAUCCCCUUCUAGAGUCCCUAUCGACAAGGGGGUUUACGACCUCGAUGUUGGAUCAGGACACCCCAAUGGUGCAGCCGCCAUUAACGGUUCGUUUGUUCAACGAUUAAAGUCCAACGUGAU
rnacentral:rRNA from 1 species